rnacentral:rRNA from 1 species
AGAGUUUGAUCCUGGCUCAGAACGAACGCUGGCGGCGCGUUUUAAGCAUGCAAGUCGAACGGUAAUAGGGUGCUUGCACUCUAUGAGAGUGGCGAACGGGUGAGUAACACGUAGGUAAUCUACCUUGAAGUUGGGGAUAGCCUGUGGAAACACAGGGUAAUACCGAAUGUCCUCAUUUCGGUGAGGAAAGAGGCUAAGGCCUCGCUUUGGGAUGAGCCUGCGGCUCAUUAGCUAGUUGGUGGGGUAAAGGCCUACCAAGGCGACGAUGAGUAGCCGACCUGAGAGGGUGACCGGCCACACUGGGACUGAGACACGGCCCAGACUCCUACGGGAGGCAGCAGCUAAGAAUCUUCCGCAAUGGCCGAAAGGCUGACGGAGCGACGCCGCGUGGACGAUGAAGGCCGGAAGGUUGUAAAGUCCUUUUAUUGGAGAAGAAUAAUGCGGGGAGGGAAUGCCCUGCAGAUGACGUUAUCCUAUGAAUAAGCCCCGGCUAAUUACGUGCCAGCAGCCGCGGUAACACGUAAGGGGCAAGCGUUGUUCGGAAUUAUUGGGCGUAAAGGGCGCGUAGGCGGCUAUGAAAGUCUGGUGUGAAAGGCCACCGCUUAACGGUGGGAGUGCACUGGAAACUACAUGGCUAGAGUUCAAGAGGGGAAGCUGGAAUUCCUGGUGUAGGGGUGAAAUCUGUAGAUAUCAGGAAGAACACCUGUGGCGAAGGCGAGCUUCUGGCUAUGAACUGACGCUGAGGCGCGAAAGCGUGGGGAGCGAACAGGAUUAGAUACCCUGGUAGUCCACGCUGUAAACGAUGUGCACUAGGUGUUGGCUGUUGUAACGGUCAGUGCCGAAGCAAACGCGAUAAGUGCACCGCCUGGGGAGUAUGCUCGCAAGGGUGAAACUCAAAGGAAUUGACGGGGGCCCGCACAAGCGGUGGAGCAUGUGGUUAAUUCGAUAUACGCGAGGAACCUUACCAGGGCUUGACAUAUGCAUGACGAUCAUAGAGAUAUGGUUUCCCUUCGGGGCGUGUAUACAGGCGCUGCAUGGUUGUCGUCAGCUCGUGCUGUGAGGUGUUGGGUUAAGUCCCGCAACGAGCGCAACCCCUGCUGUCUGUUGCCAGCAUUUCGGAUGGGGACUCAGACGGUACUGCCGGUGACAAACCGGAGGAAGGUGGGGAUGACGUCAAAUCAUCAUGGCCCUUAUGUCCUGGGCUACACACGUGCUACAAUGGUUGGUACAGAGCGAUGCAAAACCGCGAGGUGGAGCAAAUCGCAGAAAGCCGGCCUCAGUACGGAUUGGAGUCUGAAACUCGACUUCAUGAAGUUGGAAUCGCUAGUAAUCGCGCAUCAGCAUGGCGCGGUGAAUACGUUCCCGGGCCUUGUACACACCGCCCGUCACACCACCCGAGUUGGGGGUACCCGAAGUCGCUCGUCUAACCGGUUACGGAGGACGGUGCCGAAGGUAUGCCUGGUAAGGGGGGUGAAGUCGUAACAAGGUA